CAGUACUGAUCCAACAGUAUUAUUCUAUAAGUACUAAUUUACAGUACUGAUCCAACAGUAUUAUUCUAUAAGUACUAAUCUACAGUACCAAUCACAAGACCUUCCGCCACACCAACAGUUUCUUCCCGUCGGCAGUCGGGCUCAUCAACAGAGCCGGUCCCCCUCUGACUGACUAUAACAUUCCACCGGUCACUCCCUUCACACUGCACAUGUCACUUUAACUGUCAUUUAUCACUUUGUCGUCACUCGUCACUUUGUCACUUGUUCGCUAGUGCACUUUAUGCUUAAUAUUUUUUUAACUUUUUUAAUAUUUUAAAUUUUUAACUCUAAUUUUAUUAUCUUGUUUUACACUAACCCAUAGCCUUAUUCUACUAACGCAUUGCAUUAGCAUUUCAUUUUACUUUAUUUUAUUACUUGUGCGCUGUUGUCUAUUGUUACACUGUCUACUGUCACGCACCAACCGCCAAGACAAAUUCCUUGUAUGUUUGACAUAUUUUGGCAAUAAAUGUUUCCUGAUUCCUGAAAUAUAAUAUAAUAUAUACAAAAUAAGGGUCUGUUCAGGGGUGCGAUAUAUCAAAUUGCUGGCGAGGGCAGGACAAUUCCUUUGGAAGUCAUGCGGGUCAUAUUAACCCACACACCUUAGAAGUGGCCAUUGCUGGCUGCACACACAGCACUCGCACACACAUAGAUAUGCACACAUAGACGCACACGGUGUGGCUUAGGGUUUUUAAAGGAACCUCCUCAGGAUGGAAGGGUUAGUUGCUUUGUUUCGUGUGGCCCGUGGUGGGCAGAGGGAGAAAUCCAUUUAGAGAACAAAGAAAUGGUGACUUUAAAAAAAAAAUGAUUUGUCCAAGAGUUUCCUGUGAAUAUAAUGUUGUUUCCACUUGUUUGCACUUUGGGAGAAGCACAAUAAAUUUGCACCACCUCUGCCUGCGACAACGCAGUUACUGUUCAGUAAGUACUGUAGACUGAGGUUUGUGUACCUUUUGUUUUCUCGUUUUUCGUACGGAAGUGGGCGCCCGUUUUAGCGAUUUUCGUUUAGAACCAAAAACGAGACAGAAACUUUUUACUGCAUUAAUCCCUUUUUGGGUUUUGCCUACAAAACCAAAAUACGCUAAACCGCCAGUACGUAGAUUUUCACAGUAAGAGUCAACGCAAUGGAACGUUUGUAUGCUAGAAAUCCCUCUGUGAUGAAUGCGGUUACCAUGGUAACAUUAGAAGAAAAGUUAAUUAAUCAAUAUAAAUAAUGAAUCCUGGUCCGAUGGAAUGUGUGUUAGUAGUAGCACAACAGUAGCCCACCUGUUACUCUUAGCUCUGAUAUUUAUUUUCCACGUAUUGUGUUGCUUCAGUGACAGUGAGGCAGUACAAGGAGAUGCAGAGUAAACUUGUGCACAUCUUUCACGGUCACAGUUUUCAACAGUUUUAAAACUUAAAACCCUCCUCCCAAAACAGGCUUCAGCAGUUAACUAGUGUUAUUUGGCAGGAAAUACAUGUUCUGUAACAGUGUCAUGCUGGUGUGUGCAACAUGCUAACAACAUGCUAAAGAGCAGGUAGUCUUUGCAAUGCUUCCUAACCCAAUGUGCACAGCUCCAGAGAUCACUCUGAGGGUCACAUGGAAGGUAUAGCAAUCAAGAAAAGAGAAUGAAUUUCUUUAUUGUUCUUGUCUAGUGAGAAAAAUGAAAAAUAUAAAAUAUUCUAUGGUCAAAAUGUAUGAAUUCCAUAAAGCCAUUUCCCUCACACCACAGCAUUUGACCAACAUUAUUUCUUAUUAUCUGGGCCCUUUGACCUCUUGGGUCUAACCGUUCGAUUUAGGAUGAAAGAACCAGAAAACAAACGUCUCUAUUCAUAAACUGUCAUUAUUUAUUGCUUAAUAAACACAUGUAUCCUCUUCCAUGAAAUAAAUAUAACAAGAUGUAUAAAAUCUCACAACUCUUUCUUGUAUCUGUUUCUACCAGGCUGAAAUCUCUGGAUUUUUGCCAGAAUGAAAGGUCGCUACCAGUUGUCUUGUAUGGCAGUAUAGUUCUAAUUAUUCUAAUUUAAUGUAAUUUGACCCUUUUAACACUGUGCUUUCUACAAAUUCUUUUCUGGAUAUGAACAUAUUUUUUAUCACCAAACGAUAUGAUCUUGACUGCCUUGAUUUUAUACAUAUUCGACACGAAGAAAAUAUUCAACCUGAUUCUGGGGCGUCAUUCAUACCGAACCGGAACCGGUCUGAGAUGGCAACCGGAUCACGUCAAACUCAUUUCUUUUGUACCGCCGGGUUCAGGCCCAGUUUUUCUUAGAUUAUGGCCCAGUGACGGCAAUGUAUGACGGAAUCGGGGCGGUGUAUUCGGCCUGAUUCUGGGGUGUCAUUCAUCCCGAGCCUGGACUCGGCCCGACGUGUUUCUUCCGGCGUGCCAAGCUCAAGCCAGAACUGGGCCAGGAACCUCAGCGUGACGUCGACAGCCGACUCUCCCUGACUCCAACAUCACUGACAACACCAUCCUGUAGAUACACGCUCUACAACAUCAGGAGAACACGUCCUCUUCUCACUCAGAAGGAGGUACUGAUUCAGACUCUUGUCGUCUCCCUCCUGGACUACUGUAACUGUCUCCUGCAGGUCUCCUGCUACCACCAUUCCACCUCUGCAGCUCAUCCAGAAUGCAGCAGCUCCACUGGUCUUUAACCUUCCUAAGUUCUCCCUCACUCCUCCACUCCUCCGCUCUCUUCACUGGUACCGGUGGCUCAUCCAGUUCUAACCAUGGUGCUCACGUACCAUGCUGUGAAUGGAUGGGGUCCAGCUUACAUCCAGGACCUGGUCCAACCCGACAUCCCGACCCGCACUCUCCGCUCUGCAUGUGAUAAACUGCUUGUUCCUCCUCACUGAGAGCAAAACACUCGACUCUUGUUUCUUGUUCUUUCGAGUUUGUAUCCUUAUGGUUGAAAUGCACUUAUUACACCAGUAUACAGCCAUAAUUCUGAAACUAUGUAAUCAAUAAAGAAAUUAGAAUAGUGUAAUAUCACUGUAAUUGUGAAACUGUAAUUGAUAGAAUAAUAAGAAUGCACAGCUAUGGUUGUAACCAACCUGAAAUGCAUGAAAUACUUUGUUUGUUUGACUUUCAUUUCCAAUCCAAGAUGUCUUGUAUGUCUGUUCGUUCGGAGUUUCUUCAUUUUUGAACAGAACAAUAACACUGUGGGUUCACGCCUUCUCUUAACCGGUUGCUGUCCGCUCGGUGUGCUUGUGUGGACGCCUCCACUUUCGGGGGCGUCAGAGGACUGAGGCACCACGAUCGACUAAAAUAUCAAAUCGAAUGCUAGCCUCCUCCAGUCCAGGCACUUCCAGCCACCUUCCGUCCAUACUCCAGGCACCAUCUGCUUGCAGCAACUUCUCGUCUUC
ensembl:lncRNA